rnacentral:rRNA from 1 species
UGGGGAAUAUUGCACAAUGGGCGCAAGCCUGAUGCAGCAACGCCGCGUGAGGGACGACGGCCUUCGGGUUGUAAACCUCUUUUAGCAGGGAAGAAGCGAAAGUGACGGUACCUGCAGAAAAAGCACCGGCUAACUACGUGCCAGCAGCCGCGGUAAUACGUAGGGUGCAAGCGUUGUCCGGAAUUAUUGGGCGUAAAGAGCUCGUAGGCGGUUUGUCACGUCUGCUGUGAAAUCCCGAGGCUCAACCUCGGGCUUGCAGUGGGUACGGGCAGACUAGAGUGCGGUAGGGGAGAUUGGAAUUCCUGGUGUAGCGGUGGAAUGCGCAGAUAUCAGGAGGAACACCGAUGGCGAAGGCAGAUCUCUGGGCCGUAACUGACGCUGAGGAGCGAAAGCAUGGGGAGCAAACAGG